GGAUCACGCGGCGACAAAUCUCAAUUACACACUUUCAAUGGAAAACGGAGCGCGAGAUCGUCCAGACAGAGGUGCCGCUAUUACACGGUCUACUUGGAGGAUGCUGUAUGCCAGAAGUUACAUCGAUGGAGAAGUGGCACUACUUGAGAAUGCAUGUGAAGAUCUUCCACAGUGACAGCAGAUAGCGAAUGCCUAAAUAACCAAAAGCCAAAACUCAGAAAGCUUCAAACAGAUCCAGAACAAUAUGUUCUUCCUCCUCCUACUGAACCUAGCAGUUGGCUUGUGGCUGAGCAGUUCAACAGAGAUUCAACUCUUCUUUUAUUCUGACUUUCCAACUAGGGGCUGCCUUAUGUUUCUCGGUUCUGUAAACAAACACACAUCUGCUCCGCAGCAACGGAGAAGCCCAGACUUGCGUUUCUCUUUGAGCAGCAGUGGCAUCGUCUCUCCGACCCCAAACAGCUUGCGCAAGACGGAGUCGCGUAAACACCCUGGAUCCAAACUCGUCUUCUCAAACAGGGACUUCUCUGGACAGCACAGAUGGUUUCACAUGGACAAGAUUUUGUUUGGUCCAUCAAAAAGGCUUCUUAUGUCCAAAUUUCCAAAACGAAUGGAAAUGCUGUCUCACUGCCUCCAAAAAUACCCCGACUCCAAAGCAUCCAUAUUAUUCCCUCACGAUUUGUACCGACUUCAAAUGAGCGAAGAAGCAUCCUGCAGGCCAUCUUAUAACGUCGAUGGCAUCUCUUGCAUA